rnacentral:misc_RNA from 1 species
GAAAUUGCACUUCCUUAAAAAACUAGAUCAGAUAAUUAGAUGUACAAACAUAAACAAAAUGAGGUAAAAUAGGAAUCAAAGUAGGUCAACCUUGAUCUAAUGUGUAAUAUAAAUUAAUCUGCAAUUUAAAAUUUGAAAUAAUCCAAACUUGCCUGUCUUUAUCCGUAGAUCCGAACUUCAAGAAAAGUACUUCUAAUCAAAU